ensembl:misc_RNA Metazoa_SRP Metazoan signal recognition particle RNA
GCUGGGCAUGGUGGUGCAUGCCUGUAGUCCCAGUUGCUUGGGAGGCUGAGGCAGGAGGAUCACUUCAGCUCAGGAGGUCAAGGCUGCAGUGAGCACUGAUUGUGCCACUGCACUCUAGCCUGGACAACAGAUGGAGACCUCGUCUCAA